rnacentral:rRNA from 1 species
ACAGACCUGAGUGCGGCAGGACUACCCGCCGAACUUAAGCAUAUUACUCAGCGGAGGAAAAGAAAACAACCGUGAUUCCCUCAGUCAGCGGCGAGCGAAGAGGGACCGAACUCGAUGCCGAAUCGGGCCUCAAAGGCCUUGAGUUGUGGCACAAACGCUGCUCUGUGAUUGGUGCGGGAAUGGCGAAAUUCAAGCGCAAAGCAAACCCAUUGCUGAAUACAACCCUUCAUGUGAGUAUUGAGCCAAAGAAGGUGUUAGCCCAUUGAGCCAUGAACCCGAGCAUCUCAUUGAGUAGUUCCAAGAGAGUAGCACUGUUUGGGAAUGCAGUGUCAAGCGGCAGGUAUGUGUCUGCCAAAGUUAAAUACAGAGUAGGAAGACCGAUAGCGAA